GUCUACAGCAAUGCUACCCUCCACAUGCCUGAUCUCGGAAGCUAAGCAGGGUCGGGCCUGGUUAGUACUUGGAUGGGAGACCACCUAGGAAUACCAGGUGCUGUAGGUA
rnacentral:rRNA from 1 species